CAUUAAAGAGUUGCAAAACUCCCAAACCAUUGUGAACAUACCUUCAACGUUGCUUCGGCGGGUUGGCCCCGGUCUCCGGGGUCCCCGGCCCUACUCGGGCGCCCGCCGGAGGUAUCUAACUCUUGAACUUUUAUGGCCUCUCUGAGUCUUUGUACUUAAUAAGUCAAAACUUUCAACAACGGAUCUCUUGGUUCUGGCAUCGAUGAAGAACGCAGCGAAAUGCGAUAAGUAAUGUGAAUUGCAGAAUUCAGUGAAUCAUCGAAUCUUUGAACGCACAUUGCGCCCGCCAGUAUUCUGGCGGGCAUGCCUGUUCGAGCGUCAUUUCAACCAUCAAGCCCCCGGCUUGUGUUGGGGACCUGCGGCUGCCGCAGGCCCUGAAAACCAGUGGCGGGCUCGCUAGUCACUCCGAGCGUAGUAAUACAUCUCGCUCAGGGCGUGCUGCGGGUUCCGGCCGUUAAAAAGCCUUAUUUACCCAAGGUUGACCUCGGAUCAGGUAGGAAGACCCGCUGAACUUAAGCAUAUCAAUAAGCGGAG
rnacentral:rRNA from 2 species